rnacentral:tRNA from 1 species
GCCGAGUGUUAGCUCAGUGGCAGAGCAACCGCCUUGUAAGCGGUAGGUCGUGGGUUCAAAUCCCACACUCGGCUCCA